CUUACCUGUCGCUUCUGCCUUAUCUGUCGCUUUGGGGUCCUAGCUGCGUUGCCCUGGUAACAACUGUAAACAAACGGCUGCAGUUAACUGCUCCGCUCCCUGACAGGAUUUUUCAUUCAUUCGUGCCAAUGAAACAGGAGGCCUCGAUUCGUGCAGAAGAUAAGGUUUGAAACCCAGACAGCACGAAGCAUCUUGCCGACGUCAAAAUCAGAUCAACAGACAGGGACAUCAGCCUUCUCUUGGGAAUAGGCCAGAUAUGCCAUAACAAGAAAUGGUGUUUUGCCCCUGCGGUUGUGAAGAGGAUGCUGUGGAGGUGGCAGCAUGAACGUGUCACACAGACAUUGGCUAAACUAC